rnacentral:rRNA from 1 species
UAGGGAAUCUUCGGCAAUGGACGAAAGUCUGACCGAGCAACGCCGCGUGAGUGAAGAAGGUUUUCGGAUCGUAAAACUCUGUUGUUAGAGAAGAACAAGGACGUUAGUAACUGAACGUCCCCUGACGGUAUCUAACCAGAAAGCCACGGCUAACUACGUGCCAGCAGCCGCGGUAAUACGUAGGUGGCAAGCGUUGUCCGGAUUUAUUGGGCGUAAAGCGAGCGCAGGCGGUUUCUUAAGUCUGAUGUGAAAGCCCCCGGCUCAACCGGGGAGGGUCAUUGGAAACUGGGAGACUUGAGUGCAGAAGAGGAGAGUGGAAUUCCAUGUGUAGCGGUUAAAUGCGUAGGUAUAUGGAGGAACACCAGUGGCGAAGGCGGCUCUCUGGUCUGUAACUGACGCUGAGGCUCGAAAGCGUGGGGAGCAAACAGG